AUUGAAAGGAAUGGAAAGUGGGAUCGGCCUCACCGGAGUAGUUUUUGGGUCGUGGCUGCAGCAUCUCAGCCAAACUUUGCUCUCGAUUUUCGGCUUCCCUUUUGGCUUUUUGGCUUCAAUAUGGGUGUGGAGAGACUUAAAAUUAAAUCCUAAAGCAAAAGAGGAAAAAAACUCACCUCCCCAAUAUCGGCGGCGGCUCUAGUGCGACGGUGACGGCGGUUGAUUUUCCUUUCGGUCGCCCAUCUUUUUCUUCUUCUCCAGUGGCCUCCGGUGCAGCUAGGGCUAGGGUUUCGAGGAUGUGAUGCUUAUAUUCCUUCUCUGCGUCGAUCUGGACCGUCUGUGCAGGGACACAUGGCUCACUCUCUGGCAUUAGAUCUCUCUUUUUUGGGAAAUUAAUCUGGACCGCACGAUUAGAUU
rnacentral:lncRNA from 1 species